GAUUGAUGAGAUCAAAUUAUAUUAUGGUCAAAGGCUCAAAGUAAAAGAGACCAUUUCUGCUGCGUUCUGUACUUGAGAUAAUCAAAUAAAGCUGAAACUAAUCAUGAAUGCAGAGGUCAUCCCAUAUUGCAAAAAUCAUUUCACAGACUUCAAUCAUAUUUGCCUUUAAAGCUUCCCUCCACCAUUACUUUGAAGAUCUUCUUCAUAUAAGAGGAUGCUAAAAGGAUAAUAAUGUUCAGAAAAUUUCAGCGCUUGUUCAUGAAACGAUGCUACCUACAACUCCGUUGAGGCAUUAACCCACCAAUUUUCUCCACCAACUAAUUAAAGCAAAACCCACAUAAAAAACAAUCUUAUAUGCCCCUUGUUCUAAUUUUCUUCCCCGUGCAAAAACCUUUUUAACUUGCUAAAUUACACUAGCCUAUGCAUCUGUCCAAGAAGCAAAAACAGGCAGGUGAGGCAAGGUGACUGCAGGCCUCAGUUGGGCUGUUGUGAUCCAAGAAUUCACAUUAUUUGUUGGAUUUGUGAACAACUUGGAUGUUGCUGAGGGAGGUAUUGCAAAGAGCAUUGGCAGGCUAGCUCUAUCUGGGCUGCCUUCUCUCGAGCUACUUAAACUUGUCACCAAUGAUGAAGCAUUUGACAAGUGAGUUCCCAUCUUGGUUGAGUCUUCUACUUCUUGCUGAUGAACUGAGCUCAUGGCAUCAAUUCCUGUCAUAUUCUCUGGGGUCAAUGGGAAGACCUGAGUUUUGUAAUUAUCGAUAGCAUUGGUUGCCUUUUGAUCGAGUUGCUGCUGGGAGGAUUGAUAGAGGACCAUUUUCCAGUCUGGCUCACUUUCAUUGUUCUUCUGUGAGGGAAUGGCUUCCCCAAUGCUGUUUAGAGUUGGAGGAUUGUGAUUUGUAGCCUCAUUGCCAGAUCCCGUGUCUUUGUUUCUCCUUGCUAGCUCCGCAGCAAGAAGUGUAUUGCUCGCCAUGAUUCGUUCCACAUCGUACCUCGUUAUGUCAAAGUUGGUUACAGCGUUAACUCCACGAAAUUUUAUAGCUGCUAUGUCAUAAGCUUCAGCUGCUUCCUCCUGGGUACCUGAAGUUUCAGAGGAAUUAAGAAUCAGAAGUAGCUGCUUCAAAUAAGAAGCAUGGCAAUCCCAUCAUCAAUAACCAUCGCUUGCUAGUGGGUCUGUGGAGUAUCAAAUUGGCCUAAAAGAGUUAAAUUAUGAUUGCCUAAGAUUGGCUUCUUAAAGUCAAAAGGCACCCACUCUUUUUGUUAUAAAUUCCCUAAACAUGAUUUGCAGAAUGUGAACACACAACUUUUGGCAUAUAGAAACAGAGUUGGCUUAAGAAACUCACUGAAUGUUCCUAGAUAAAGGUCUUUAUUUCCAGCAACCCUUCCGAUCCUAGCUUGCCAUCUUCCAUGUUGAUGAUGUCUGGAAAAAAUUGAAACAGAAAGAUUUCAGGGGGAAACAAGUAAAAAAAAGUUUCUUUUCUUAGACAAAAAGAGCAUGUGAACAACUUUAAGUACGUUGAGUAAAUUAAGUAAGGUUUAUUAGAUUAGACCUUGUUACUCCUCUGUAAAUAGAAGCCCCCCUAGAGAAUCCACUGCUUUUCCUUCUCAAAUGAGCAACAUACUCUUGUCUAGUCAUGUUCUUCAUUUCUUCAAGUUCUUUUUGAUAAUUUUCCAAAGGGAAAUUGAUAUGAGUAGAGGGACCCCAAUACUUGAGAGCAGCUAGAUCAUAAGCUCUUGCAGCUUUUUCUUCCAUAUCAUAGCCCCCCAGAUAAACUUGCCUUCCUUUUCUGCUUUGUCCUUCUUUCUUGCAACUAUUGUCCCACAAAUGGGCUUCAUAUCUCCCAGUCCAUCUGUGCCUUGUAACACCUCUGUACUGUGAGGUUCUUUGCCCAAAUGUAUCAAUGGACUUCCUAUGAACAAUUUGCUUCUGAUCCACCUUAUCAGGCCCUCUUUUCUUGGUUUCCAUGGCUGCACAGUCAGUCACAGCAGGUGAGAUUUGUUGAGAACCAGUAACGCAGCUUGAUUGGGAGCCAGGACUCAUGGACAAGCUCAAAGACUGCAAAUCCCCAUAUGCCAUUGCACUAAUAGCUCCAGAUUCACCUCCAUUUUCACCCAUGCAACUUAUCAUCUUCUGCUGGUCCAUUGCGGGGUUACUUGGGUAGUUCCUUGAAACCCAAUUCCUCAUGCGUUUUAUCUCAUCAUCUCCAAUUGUUGGAAGCUGAAGAUUGCAAUCUGAAACCUGCUGAGUCUCUUUGGGCUCCUCUCCUACUAACAUUUCAUAGCUCCUGAAGUUAGUAUUGUAAUAUGGGUAGUGUUCGACUUGAAUCUGGUGAUGUUGUUGGUGCCUGUUGGGGUUUUGCUGAAGAUGAUUUAGGUAAUUUUGGUCGUUGGGCUGAUGCUCUGGGUCUUGGUGAUAAUACAUACUGUCCAAGCUAAGAGGCAUAGCUUCUCUAUCAUUGGUUUCAUAUUGAUGGGUCCCCAUGGUUGCACCACCGAAGAAGUCCUCCAGUUUUGGAGUUGAAGAUGUUACCAUUGUUGCUUUAAGCUGUGAUCUGGUGAGAGCUUCCAUUAUACAAAGAGAACCGUCAGACUUUAGUGGCAUCGCUGGCAAGGGAGAGAACCCACCAUUGUCACCUUCAACAUCAAAUAAAUUGCAAUAAUUUAGGUUUGAAUGUGGUUGGGAGUGGAAAAGGCUUGCUGAGAUUGCAGUAGGAACAGAAGCAGAUGCAGACUGCGCUUGGUGAUGGUGAUUAACACCAGAAGGAACUUCCAUUUUCAUGUGAGGAGAGAGGGAGAAACCUAACCAGUUAGUAUUGUUGUUGUCCUGGUCAUCAUUGUUCAUGGACUUCAUUUCUUAACUGUGUACCUUCUAGCUUGGUAGAGAUUCUUGGUAUGUUUCUGUUUCUCUUGAGGCAAGGCAACUCAAUCAUUGGGGAGAAAUGAACUAAUCAUAGGCCUAACAUAUAUUUCUCUCUCUCUAUGCUUCCUCUAAUUUUUGGAACUCUUUUUUUCCUUUUCUUUUCUUUUGUUCUCUAGCUGCAAAAAUGGAUUGGAUCAAAUCCAACCGCUCAUUUAAAAAGAAAAUCCAACUCCUGCAACUGAAUCUAUAUGCUUUCUUUCUCUCUCUGAAAAGAUUUCUAAAGAGAACAAAGCAAGUUCCUUUAAACUAAACAAAAAGAAUGAGUUCCAGCAAGCAAUGCUGGGCAUCCCUCCUGCAUUCCAUAGGGAUCUGUGUCUGAGAAAGACCUCUUCUUUUGCUUUUCUACCCUAAGCUCACCUCUUGCUCUUCCUACCUUUCCUUUUCCUUUUCUUUAUUCAAGACAACCCUCCCCUCUUCAAAACUUGGAGACGCA
rnacentral:misc_RNA from 1 species